CAGUCCGAUCUUUAAUCAAGGUUGACGUCCAUCACACUGAGCAGAGAUGUCUCAAUCUAUCAAUGUUGAAGCCUUGAUGAGUCGCCAGUUAUUAAUCUGCUUUGACUACUCAAUCAAUGUCAUGAUUACAGUCAGGCUUACCAUCUCUAAAGAGAUCUACCCGUCAACAUGCCAAAGACUGGCCUGUAAAGGAGCGGAUGGCACUAUCCAGAGUAAGGCUUUCCAUCUCUAAUGAGAUCUACCCAUCAACAAGUUGUUUUUUAAGACUGGCCCAUGGUAAUUGAGCUUCAAGCAGUCUCCAGUGAGUCUCCAAAACACCUACGUGUCAACAAUUGAAUGUCUGAGACCCAAGUAUCAGCAUACAGCCUGCCAUAACUUUCUGUGUAAAUGGGAGCCGGAGAUGCAGCCAAGUGUUCCCUGAAAUCAAGUGCCGAGGGAAUCGCCUCUACUGACAUCGCUGAAAGCAACGCUGUAUAAAGGAGAGCAAUG